AAUAAAAUAUAGCAAAAACCAAGAUGUAAUUAAUUGCAAAAAUCAAUGACUGUUGUAAAAUAAUCUAAAGAUCUUUUAUCCUUUUUUAUCUCUGCAACAGAUUUUUAGGCAGCAAUGAUUUUGCCACACAUCUUUUUCUUUGCAAUGCCUACUAAUUAUUUUGCAAUGCUCCUUUUAAUCUGCAUUUCCAUCACGUGUGAGCUCGUGAUACCGUUUUGCCUUUGCGCUUCACUUUUCUCUGCGUUUCACUUUAUGGCACUGUUUUGACGUGGGGGUGGAGUCAGGGGAUUGGGGCGUGUACAACGGGCUCAGUGAUGCCUCUUUGGAAGUUACAUCAUUAGCUUGAGACACGGAUCAAACAUCAUGGCUGAGCAAACGCAUGCAGGUGGAUCUCAGAUUAUAAUGGGCUAUAUGCACGGUUACUUCCUGGUUUAGAUAAGCCAGCUCAGGCAUUUCCGUUCAACUGUCAUUCCUGAAGAUGUUCUAUACGCGCUGCCUGCAGGAUCUACCUCGAGUCAACACAAAUGAUGAUUUACACCGCCUGAUUCAUUCAAAUUCAAAGACUUCAUCAAGCAAACGUGAAAAGGGAUGUAUUAUAUCCAGCUAUAUCCAUGACUACGAAGGUUGUUCUCAAAGACUCUAAACCCAUUGAGCUGUUGACCUGUCAGGGCUUGCACUAUGCAAUCAUGUUGCAGAUUUGCUCUACCAGACCUCACAUUACAGCCAGCAGGGAGUAACGGCUGUCCCCCUACUCACAGCUGCACAGGGUCUGAGCUACAGUGGCACAAACCUAGAACCCAGAGUAACUUGUACAACGGGGCCUGUGACCGGACCUGUGACCUUCCAGACAUGUCAGUUCUGCGUGUGAAUGAGAUUUACCGAGGAAUGCCAAGGGAAACUGCUCCACCCACAACAACAAUGGGAAUAGCAUUUAUUAAAUGGUUUAUUCAAAGAAUAUUCAGAGAUGGGAGAGUCAUAAAAACAAUCAAACAAAAGGUUGAUUACUUUUACCUACCUAUGCUUUUGGCUUGUCAGUUUCCAUGGUUAACUUUCAAUCAGUUUUUUUACAAAGUUCAAAUAGUUUGGUUUUCAUUACAUUUCUUAGCAGUUUUCAUGUGCUCACUAUUGUCAUCUGCCACAAAUAUAUUCUAAUAGAACAGAAUUCUAGUAUACAAUGUAUACAAAUUAUGUUAUGUAGUUGAACAUGUCAUCAUUAAUUUAUUAAAUUACAUAUUUUCCUAUAAAUGUUAUUUAUGUGAGUGUUUGAGGUUAUAUCUCAUUAGUACCUAAAAUAGUAUUGUUUAAAUGCUGUUUGUAAUGGCCACAAUAAAACACACAAUGCUUUGGGGAGCCCUUUAAAAAAGGCAGUUACAAACAAAUGUAGGUUUAUUCACUGAAAGCAUGAAACUGAAAAUGAGGGGAAAAUACAGAUCCCUGUAUGAUGAUGUAGAGAUGUAAAUCCAUUCUUUAUCAUUGAACAAAAGCAGUAGCUAACAACAGUAAAAUAGUAUCAAUACUAAACAGAACUGCAGCACUGGUCUUGAUGCAUACAUUUAGACCCAGCAAUUUAAAGCAAAAAGCUCUGGUAAUUUAACAGAAGGCAUGCAACUACAUAGAGAUGGUUAAUGUUACCAAACAUAUUUAGGGGAUAACCAUGUCAAAGAAUUUGUGUUCCUUUAAACGGCGAAUAAGGCGCUCAUCAUGCACUCUCAGAUAUGCAAUAGUCUGGGUCUCCCUGACCUCGCGUGCAGGCAUCUGAAAUCUCCCAGAAAGAAAUGCAGGCCUGUACACUUUACAGGGCACACAGUCAUCCUUAAGAAAGCCCAGGGGCGAAAAUUUCAUCAAAAUGUUGGGGGGACAAUAAACAUAACGAUUCUCAAGAGCAAUUUUUGAAGGGGACACCAAGGGAUUUUUUGUUGUUGCCACGUUUGCAUUUGUAUUAUUUUAUUUCUUAAACAAUUAUUUUAAAAAUAUAUCAUAUUAUUUUCAAUACACAUAUUUUAAUGAUAUUUUAGUGAUGUAAGUAUUCCUGACUCUUCAAAGAUCUGCUUGUCACUUACUGAGCCAGCAAAGAGGGGAGAAACAACGGUUAUAGCACCAUGGCGGGCCGUUGUUGGUCGCCGGAGGGGUAAGUUUGAAAACUAAUAGCCGAAUUGAAUUUAGCUGAGGAUGAACAAUGAGGGACGCAACAGUGCCCAGCUGAAGUCCACUCAAAAUGCUGAAAUUUAAACGUCUUUUUCAUUUCGUUCACUUAUUUUUGUAAUCGAUUUAAACAAGUGAAUAACUGUGUGCAAAAAAAAAAAAGAUUGAUAUCGCCUUACAGGCUAUAUUUACACUGUCUAUCAUAAAAUUUAAUAUGCCGCUACAGCAAGUGACGUUUCACCGGAAGUUUUUGAGCUGGCUUAUAUUAUUCCGGAAGUUGUCAUUAAUGUUCCAUGCAUAUAGCCCAUUGUCUAUACCAUAGUAUGUUGUCUUCUAAAAAAAUGUAAACUCCAUAUUUAGAUGUAACAUUAUCACUGUUAAAGGAGACAAUAAAUAGAUUACAAAUAAAAAGUUAAACGAUCGUAACAAACGUGCAUGUGUUCUGUCUAUAAAAAUACAGUUUUGAAAUAUAAAAUGUUCACAUCCCCUAUAUUCUUAACCCUGCGUUAUACAGC